UGUCCGUAGGUGAACCUGCGGAAGGAUCAUUAUUGAAACUUCAUCCGGGGCGCCGCGGCCCUCAGCACCGGUGGAAACGCCGUGCUGCGGGGGCCGCGCGUGCACUCGUCCAAACCAAACCCCUGUGACCCUUACGGGAUGGCACGGGUUAGCGCCCGGUGCCGUUCCGCUUUAUACAAACACUUAUCAAAGAAUGAACUGAAGGCGGUCUGACCGCUGGAUAACAAACUGAAACAACUUUCAACAACGGAUCUCUUGGCUCUC
rnacentral:misc_RNA from 1 species